rnacentral:lncRNA from 1 species
CUCCUCCCCUCGGCCGCGCCCCGCGACGCCUCUGAGCUCCGGGCCCGCUAAGGAGAGGGCUCCUCCUGCCCGCGGUUUGCAGAGGGAAGCGGCGGAGACCGGGAGGGCGCGCUCGGUUCUGGCCAGGCCAGCAGCUGCGGCCGAGUGGGGGGCUCCGGCCUGGCCGCUUCCUGGGACCCCCUCCCGCCCGGGGCCGCCGCCGCCAGCUGCAGCCUCUCGGCUCCUCCCCAGAGGAGCGCGGGGCCGGGGCCCAGGCCAAGUCCCUCCCCGGAGCCGCGGGGCGUCUGCGCCGCCGGAUGAGCUCCCCGCCGGGCGGCGACCCCGUGCCCCACGCCCGUCUCGGCAAGGAGGAGGCGGAGGCGGCCCCGCGAGAGAGGCCCAAGGAGCGACUGGGCCUGGACCCAGGGGACGCCAGGGCAGCGGAGCUCCCGGCACCGGUCCCGUCCCCCCCCCCCCGCCCACCCGCGGGACGCGCCCGCCUUAACCCUCCAGGCGCCGGGCCCGCUGGGGGCGCUGAGAGGGGCUGGUGUGCCGGGGGCGCCUUCCUGCUUGGGGCCGACGGGGGUGUGUGAGUGCAGGCGUGUGCGUGUGUGUGCGCAUGUGUGUGUGUGGAUGUGCGUGUGCGUGUGUAUGCCUGUGUGUGUUUGUGUGUGCGUCUGUGUGCAUGUGUGUGUGCACAUGCAUGUGUGUUCACGUGAGUGCAUCUCAUCUGUCACCCACAACCAGGGGAGCGGUGCUUGUACAACCAGCUGGUGGCUUCUGCAACCAGCAGCUUCUGGCCGUGCAGCUCCCUGUAGGGAAUAUGAGUUAAUCUGGAUGUCAGCCUAAGAUGUAGUCAGGGAGGUAAGUGUGUGGGAGGAGGCCACAUCCCCUGUGCCUCAAGCCGGCUGCUUCCACAGUGCCCAGACUGCCUGGGCCAGCAGCCUCGCCAGCAAGCCCAGGCGGGUGGGCCGGGAGCAGGGCCUGGGCCCCCCCUCUUACUUUCACCGGCUGGCUGUGUUACCAGGGCCCUCUCCGCCCUCUCUGAGCCUCAGUUUCCUCUGAUGUGAAUUAAGGGCGUUGAGCCCAUUGUUCCUGAGGAAUCACUCAUCUCUGAGCCUGGCCCAUUGCCUGGCAUUCCGUGGGCACCCACUAGAUACUUAUAAGGGGAGAAGUUGUUCCAGUCCGGCUGGCCAGUGGAAUCCAUGCGUCUUGGGCCAUUUGAAGUGAGUGAAGGGCUGGGUGCGGCCCACCUGGAGCUGGACUGGAGGCUGUGUUGGGUGGGGCGGUGUGACCUGGAGGUGGGCUGCCCCCUCAGGAGACAGCUUCACCCCUGUGAGUGGACCUCAUCCUUCCUUCCUUCCACUCACAUGGACAGCACAUCUGUGUGUAGACAGGGUCACUGAGAGAGGCCAAGGAGGGUGAGGAGGAAGAUCCCGGGUGUGGGGGGAGUCCUGGGGGAGCAGACAGCAGGGACAGAAGCCUGUGGCAGGAAGGAAGGUCUUGGCCUGUGUUCUCCCAGCAAGGGUCCCCUUGGACUUGGAGUUCUAUAGGCUCCUGGCCCCCCCAUCUCUCCCGUGGUCUACAGGACCUCGACGCAGAGCUGUGGCUAGUGUCUUGGGGCAGACAUGGGGCUGAGCAGACCCCAUGGAACACUAUUAUCCGGUGUGGGGGGCCUCAUGGAGGUUCCCUGGGCACUUACUUUCACUUGCCUCCUGCCCCCAACUCCUCUCCCCUCCCAUCCUCACCCCCAGAGUGGUUUUUGGGAGCCCGGCAGCUAUCUGGACCCGUGUGCACCCCUGGACGCCUCCCUCCCUCGCAGAGGGUCCUGGUUCAUCUCGUCUGUUGCCUCUUAGAACAGUGGCCUCUACCUCGCCAGCACAAGCAGUCGAGUUAAGACAGGAGCCUCGUUCAAAGUUCCGCCCGGGGCCAGGCACAGCGCAGGCUCUCAGAGGAGGGCCCAGGAGUCCACAGGCUGCGGCGGCGCGAGACAAAAGUCGGAAGACAGGACCCCGCUGAGGAGUGAGGAGACAGCGGCCAACCCUCCGCCAGACCCUUCCGCCUGGUGCCUUUACUGGGCUCUGAGGAGGAAUUUGGUGGUUCAGUCGGCCCAUCCGUGGACACCAUAAAAACAAAGAGAAAACAGACACACACAGAUGCACACAUAGAUACACACAGAUACACACAGACACGGAUAUAUAGACACACACAGAUACACACACGUGGACACAGACACACACAUAGACACAGAUAUAUAGACACACACAGAUACACACACGUGGACACAAACACACACAGACAUACCCAUAGUUACGGAUAUAUGCAUGGAUACACAAUACACAGACACACAGAUGAUACAUGCAUAGACAGAUAUAUGGACACACACACACGGACACACAGAUACACACAUAGACACAUAGACAGACACAGAUACAGACACAGGCACAUGUAGACACACAUGGACAUACAAUACUCAGAUGAACACAGAGAUAAUAUACACAUAGACACAGAUCUAUAGAUACACAAAGACAUACACACAGAUAUACAUAGAUGCACACAUAGACACAGAUACACAUGUCAUCACACAUGGACACACACAGACACACACCAAUACACACAUAGACAUACGAAGACACAGGUACACAGACACGUAUACACACAGACACGCAUAUAUACAUACAGACGCAGAUAUACACACAGACACAGACAUACACACACACACAGACACAGAUAUACACAGAUACAUGGACAGAUACACAUUCACAUACACACAUAGAUACACAGAAACACACAGACACACAGACACAUAGAGACACACACACAGCCACACAGGCCCUGAGCCUCCCUGGGCCCUCCCUUGUGCAGAGGCGGAGGGGCUGGCUGUCGGGGAGGGCACCUGGAGAGGACACACAGCCCCAUCAGAGACCAGGGAGUGGCUCUGGGAGCUCUUUUCGUCCAAAGGGGCUGGAGCUCCAGUUAGCCAAGGUGAGGGCGUGGAGGAUUCCUGGGGGAAGCUUCGUGCUGCAAGGUGGAAAAGACAGAUAACAAGAGAAAAACAGAAGCUUAAUAGCAUGUAUACCUUGGUCUGCAAGGGACGGACUCGGGACAGGCUAUGUCGCAAAGGCGUGGCUUGGAGCUCAGCCUUAAAGACCAUGUUCGACGGAAACAAAGAGAAAGAGUGUGUGGGGAGGGGCCCAAGAAAUUACCCCAAACUGGGGUCAGGCCUUCUCCAUGGAUGAGCGUCUCCGGUGACUUACAGGCGGCCUUCUGGCCCAGAGAGGGGGCACCCUGGUGAGCGCAGAUGCCUGUACGGAUGUGACUUUCUCUCAUAGAACAGCAGCUUCCACUCUUGUUUUCAGAAUUUCUCCUGUGGUUGCAGUUUCUCAAAAUAAGCAGCUCAAAAUAAUGCUUAUGCCAAAGAGGCAUAUUUUGGGGUGGCAUAUUCUGGUCUGCUCUACGUGGAAGCGGACAGAAAAAUGGGGCAGAGGCCAGGGAGGGGAGCGGGACCGACUUCCAGUUCCCAGACCCGAGCAAGGGAACCUGAGGCCGAGCUCUGGAGCUUGGGGUCUGGAAGGGGUUCUCUGAGGACACUCUGGGAGUGGGGGAACAGCUGCCUCCUCAGGUUUCCCCCAAGGGAUCCUGCCUGGGGAGACCUGGACUGGGCAAGGCUUGGCAGCUGCCCUGCCAGGAGGAGGGAGACGGCUGCAGUGGGGGGGUGCAGGGUCGCUGGGGUCCCACCCGGGGGUGCUGGGACCGGCCAGAGGACACUGCGAUUUCCCAAUGGGCCAGGAAGGAAGGAGGCGCUUUCCAGGCAGAGCAUGACCCCGCACAGGAGGCAGAGACAGAGUCUCUGAGUGUCCCCGUCAGGUCCCUGGGACUGUGGCAGGGGAAGAAGCCGCAGUACCUCCUGCCCUUUAGGACAGGAGAGGUUGUCGUCCCAGCGUUGCCCAGCAGCUGGUUGGAGCCCAGGGCUCCUCAGAUGAGCCAGCGCCUGAGCCCUGAGCUGCCAGCUGGCCUGGCUGGAGCCGCCACUGAUCUUCCCAGGAGAAAGAGGCCGCCGUGCGUAAGUAGCGAGGUAUAAGAGGACGUGUAGAGCCGUGUCGCUCGCGCAAGAAGGGGAAAGAAGGAAGCCUGUCUGCAUGGCUGCGCAGGGGAUAUUGGAACAGAACUGAAGGAACUCAUGCAACGCUUCUCUGUGAAGGGGGCACCGCGAUGUAUGGACAAGGGUGGGAAAGGGAUGCUGGGCCAUAAAGUUUGGGGUGCGUGAUGGUGUGGAGGAGAAAGCCCUCCUGGGAGCUGUGGCCAGGGAGUGUGCAGUCCACGAGCAGAUGGAGCUUUAUGUGCCUCCCACCUCCUCCCAGGGGCCCCCCACGACUCGCUGAGGCCCCAUCAGCAACAGGAUGACGGGUUUUCUUUCCCACACAGAUCGGGGACGUCCCAGCCUCCUGAGGUGGGGCAGAGGCGGGCACCGCAGCCCAAGAGCUGGCUUUCCCCCUGCACCUCCACCCAUGCGUUGGCCUGGAGUGGCCCAGCGGAGGGUCCAGGUGGGGGUGCUGGAGGGGCCCACCCAGCUCAGGCCUGGCACCUGCACCUUUCUGGAUCCCACGAUGUUUUGCUGAGGGUUACUCAUCCAAGACCUGCCCGGAGGCUCCGAGCUGUUUACCACAGGCCAGCUCUGGCCGUAGCCUAUUCUGGGAGCCUGGGGGUGCUGGGAGGAGGCUGGGGCUCUGGGUGGCAGGAGGAGGAGAGCCGUCUUGUCCUUACUGAGCGUCCAGCGGGCGCCAGAUGCUGCGCCGCGUGCAAUUCUAAUCCUGGCCGGCAAAGCCAGAACGGGACAAUAUUCCUUCCUCCCCAGGCCUCCCGCUUGGCUGUGGGUGCUGACGGGCAAUGGGCCUGGCUAUCGGGGCUCACAGGGGAGCCGGGAGAGCCGCUAGCAGGAGAAAAUGUGAGCUCUGCAUCUGCUGGGCUGGGUUCGGGGGACGCGGGGUGGCUGGGGAGGGUCGUGCUCGUCCCUCCGGCUGCUGUCGCUGGCCCGCCGGCCAGUCCGCCCCAACGCUGGACUCCUGGGCUAUCCGUUCCCCACCCACCGUCUGAGGGUCUUUGAAAAUAGAACUCAUUCGUUUUCAUUAAAAGCAACCGAUCAAGAAGCCGAAAACACAAGAAUAAAACAAUGUAAAAGCUUGACUUUAUUUUGUAUCCGUCAAACACAGGACUCACAGUCCGUUACACAUGGAGCAUUCGCAACACUGAUCAUGUUCUGAUGGUCACACAAUGUCGGGAAAUUCCAAAAGGCAGAUAAUCUAGAGUCUGUUCACGGCAUCCACACACACACACCGGUGCACAGGCACACGAGCACACAGUCUACAGAUUGUUCGUAGACACAGUGUGGUAUAAUGAACAAAAGCUGGCUUUAAAAAUAGUUCUACCUGGGCCCGGUGCGGUGGCUCACGCCUGUAAUCCCAGCGCUUUGGGAGGCCGAGGCGGGUGGAUCACCAGAGGUCAGGAGUUCGAGACCAG